CUUUGUUUUAGAUUCUUUUUUCCCAUAUAGGUCAUUACAGAGCAUUGAAUAGAGCUCCCUGUGCUAUAAAGUAGGUCCUUAUUAGUUAUCUACGGAAGAAGUCCAAUUUAAGCCUCGUUCAUGUAUUGGAAAUCCGUGCUGCAGUUUAUCCUCCAGUCAUACACCACGCUCAGCAUCGUCUGCCCACGAGAACUUUGGGAGCGUAUUGACUCAGUUGCCCCCACGAGUGAUGAGCUCCCUGUCUUUGCCCGACGGCUCCCUGUCAGCGGGGGCUGCCUGUUGCCCCCUGGCAGACAUGAUGGGGAGGCUCAAAUAAGCCUAUUAAUAUUCAGUCAAAUGCCAAUAAAGUCCUUGUGCAAUGUGAUUCAUUCACCAUAUUGAUCUACCCUUUUCAAGCCGAGAGCAAAUUAAGUGAGCAUUGGCUUGUGUUACCUUGAAAACGCAGUACAGGUAAAAAUCAAACUGUAAUCUUCUGUGUACUUGGAAGAUAAAUUGGAAAGGCUAUUCUUUUGGCGCUCAAUUUAGUGUGCCCAACCACUGUCUGGGGGAAAUCAGGGCCUCUGGCGGCACGGCAGGGUUUAUCAGAAGGUGUCUCUGGAUUCGAAAAUGAUCUAAUGAACAAUUCUGCUUGUGUUCUGCAUCUUCUAAAAAUAGUGUCAACAAAUUGGCACCAUCUCCUAAAUAUCUGCUUACAUCCUAUUUUAGCAGCCAACUCAUGGGUUGCCAGGAGUUUAUAAUAUACCCAUCUCAAAAUAAAAAUGCCUCUCCCGCAAAUUGUAAGAGAGAUCAACAGAUUGGUAGCAGGACAAGGGUUCUCAUGGUGCCCAGUGGGGUGAAAGUCUCUCGGAAACUUGCAAACCCCUAUUUAUGGGCUGAAAAGCUUAUAGAGUUUCUUUUUAAGGAUGUUUUCUUUUAAGGAUGUUUUUAAGGAUGUUGAUAUUUUCUUUUAAGGAUGUUGAAACAUUGCUGUCUUCAUGUUCAACUCUUGGGCCAUUGGAGACUUUGACCUCAGAGAAGUGGGAGAAGGAGGCGCCUUCAGGAUUCACGUCCACCAUCAUCUCCUGAAGAUGAUGAGGGGAUGAGGAGUGAAGGGCCUGCUUUCACAUCCAGCUGGGAUGUGACCGGCUUCCAGCCUGGAGCUCUGAGCAUCCCGCAGGCUCUCCAGGCAUCGCAACAGAUGUGCAGGGAACACAGCAGGUACCAAGCCCACAGGCCUGCCCCUUCCCAAACUCCUGCCUCACGGAGCUUUGUAAAGGAGAUCAUCACCACGGAAUUGAAGAUACAGUCAGGGUUUAAUUAAGCUUGGACUUGAGGCUUCAAGUUGUUUGAAAACUUGAGAUUUACAACAAAACGACCCAAGUAACCUAUAUAACCAGUGAAACAGAAAGCAAAGCAAGAAACAUAAUUCUCAAAGGUGACUCACACCUGCUAAGAUUCCUGUGUUAUGGGCAAAUAUCAAAGCCACGAGAGACUUUGGCUCUUUUUGGCUUUCUCAGCUAUUUUGUGAUAGAAUGGAGGGGAAUGAUGUGAAGAGAGUCAUCUGAUUUGAGGUUGGAGUGAAGAGCACAGGCUCCGGACGCGCAGGCUCAGCGGCCAUGGCUCACGGGC